AAGCGGAGGAGCAUGUGGUUUAAUUCGAUGAUACGCGAGGAACCUUACCUGGGCUCGAACGUAAGAUGACUGUAGGUGAAAGCUUACAUCUCUUCGGAGCAUUUUACGAGGUGCUGCAUGGUUGUCGUCAGCUCGUGCCGUGAGGUGUCGGGUUAAGUCCCAUAACGAGCGCAACCCCUACCUUUAGUUGCCAUCAGGUAAUGCUGGGGACUCUAAAGGAACUGCCUACGCAAGUAGUGAGGAAGGCGGGGAUGACGUCAAAUCAGCACGGCCCUUACGUCCAGGGCUACACACGUGCUACAAUGGCCGAUACAGAGGGCAGCUACCUGGUGACAGGAUGCUAAUCUCAAAAGCCGGUCUCAGUUCGGAUCGGAGUCUGCAACCCGACUCCGUGAAGCUGGAAUCGCUAGUAAUCGUGGAUCAGCCAAGCCGCGGUGAAUACGUUCCCGGGCCUU
rnacentral:rRNA from 1 species